AGUGAGCUUUUGGCACUCUUCAAAAUGACAAUUUGAAUAUAUUCUUGAAUGACUGUAUGUUUUCUUGAUCAGAAGCUGAAUAGAAAUAGUUGUCAGGAAGUCAGACUGCUAUAUGCAUUGAAGAAGCUGAUUCUAGCUAUCAUGGGAUUGAUCAUUCUGAAAAGAGUUGAAACUUUGUUCCUGAAUUUCAAAUCCAUGUUUCGAUUGAAGAAACCUGAAAACCAUC
rnacentral:lncRNA from 1 species